rnacentral:rRNA from 1 species
UACGGGGGGGGUAAGCGUUGUUCGGAAUUACUGGGCGUAAAGGGCUCGUAGGCGGCCCACUAAGUCAUACGUGAAAUCUCUCAGCUUAACUGGGGAACUGCGUGUGAUACUGGAUGGCUUGGAUUUGGGAGAGGGAUGCGGAAUUCCAGGUGUAGCGGUGAAAUGCGUAGAUAUCUGGAGGAACACCGGUGGCGAAGGCGGCAUCCUGGACCAAUAUUGACGCUGAGGAGCGAAAGCCAGGGGAGCAAACGGG